rnacentral:rRNA from 1 species
UUUUAUUGAGAGUUUGAUCCUGGCUCAGGACGAACGCUGGCGGCGUGCCUAAUACAUGCAAGUCGAACGCACUUUCUUUCACCGGAGCUUGCUCCACCGAAAG